rnacentral:rRNA from 1 species
AGAUUAAGUUAUUAAGGGCGCACGGUGGAUGCCUUGGCACUAGAAGCCGACGAAGGACGUUACUAACGACGAUAUGCUUUGGGGAGCUGUAAGUAAGCUUUGAUCCAGAGAUUUCCGAAUGGGGAAACCCAGCACGAGUUAUGUCGUGUUAUCUGCAUGUGAAUACAUAGCAUGCAAGAAGGCAGACCCGGAGAACUGAAACAUCUUAGUAC